GACGAACGCUGGCGGCGUGCCUAAUACAUGCAAGUCGAACGCAGUGGGGACGGGUGAGUAACACGUGGGUAACCUCCCAUCAGAGGGGAUAACACUUGGAAACAGGUGCUAAACCGAUACUGAUGGAUGGACCCGCGGUGCAUUAGCUAGUUGGGGAGGAAACGGCUCACCAAGGCCACGAUGCAUAGCCGCCCUGGGGGGGUGAUCGGCCAAACUGGAACUGGAACACGGCCCAGACUCCUACGGGGGGCAUCGGGAGGAAAUCUUCGGAAAUGGACGAAAGUCUGACCGAGCAACGCCGGGUGAGUAAAGAGGGUUUUCGGAUCGUAAAACUCUGUUGUUAGAGAAGCGGUAUCUAACCAGAAGGCCCCGGCUAACUACGUGCCAGCGGCCGCGGAAAUU
rnacentral:rRNA from 1 species